rnacentral:rRNA from 1 species
CCUACGGCGGGCUGCAGUGGGGGAUAUUGGACAAUGGGGGGAACCCUGAUCCAGCGACGCCGCGUGAGUGAAGAAGUAUUUCGGUAUGUAACGCUCUGUCAGCAGGGAAGAAAGCAAUGACGGUACCUGACCAAGAAGUCCCGGCUAACUACGUGCCAGCAGCCGCGGUAAUACGUGGGGGGCAAGCGUUAUCCGGAAUUACUGGGUGUAAAGGGAGCGUAGACGGGUGUGCAAGUCUGGAGUGAAAGGCGGGGGCUCAACCCACGGACUGCUCUGGAAACUGUAUGGCUGGAGGGCAGGAGAGGUAAGCGGAAUUCCUAGUGUAGCGGUGAAAUGCGUAGAUAUUAGGAGGAACACCAGUGGCGAAGGCGGAUUACUGGACUGUAACUGACGUGGAGGCUCGAAAGCGUGGGGAGCAAACAGGAUUAAAUACCCCAGUAGUC